rnacentral:rRNA from 1 species
GACAGAGGUGCCGAGCGUUAGGCGGAAUCACUGGGCUUAAAGCGUGUGUAGGCGGAUGGGUAAGUACCUUGUGAAAUCCCACGGCUCAACCGUGGAACUGCUCGGUAUACUGCUCGUCUUGAGCCAACUAGGGGCGACCGGAACAAACGGUGGAGCGGUGAAAUGCGUAGAUAUCACUUGGAACGCCAACGGUGAAGACAGUCUGCUGGGGAUUUGCUGACGCUGAGACACGAAAGCCAGGGGAGCGAACGGG